rnacentral:lncRNA from 1 species
GUUCGACUAAAGUAAAAGUUGUAAAAUGCAUUUUUUUGUACAAAAACACUUCAUUUUGUUAUGAAAAAUUUUGGUCAGAUAAAAGAUUAUUUUUUUUAUAGAUUUUUUGUUCGUUUUAAUGCCAAUGUUAUCAUUAACUACGUUUCAAUAUUAUUUUACAAAUAUUUUAUCAUAUUCCAUCCAAAAUAAGAGGCUGAUUUUUCAAGUUUUAAAAAAUCAAUGU